rnacentral:rRNA from 1 species
CCUACGGGAGGCAGCAGUGAGGAAUAUUGGUCAAUGGACGAGAGUCUGAACCAGCCAAGUAGCGUGAAGGAUGACUGCCCUAUGGGUUGUAAACUUCUUUUAUAAAGGAAUAAAACGAGGCACGUGUGCCUUUUUGCAUGUACUUUAUGAAUAAGGAUCGGCUAACUCCGUGCCAGCAGACGAGGUAAUACGGAGGAUCCGAGCGUUAUCCGGAUUUAUUGGGUUUAAGGGGCUCGUAGAUGGGUUGUUAAGUCAGUUGUGAACGUUUGCGGCUCAACCGUAAAAUUGCAAUUGAUACUGGCAGUCUGGAGUACAGUUGAGGUAGGCGGAAUUCGUGGUGUAGCGGUGAAAUGCUGAGAUAUCACGAAGAACCCCGAUUGCGAAGGCAGCUUACUAAACUGUGACUGACAUUGAUGCUCGAAAGUGUGGGUAUCAAACAGGAUUAGAUACCCGUGUAGUC